UCGCCAGACUCCUACGGGAGGCAGCAGUGGGGGAUAUUGCACAAUGGGGGGAACCCUGAUGCAGCGACGCCGCGUGGGUGAAGGAGUAUUUCGGUAUGUAAAGCCCUAUCGGCAGGGAAGAAGCAAGACGGUACCUGACUAAGAAGCCCCGGCUAACUACGUGCCAGCAGCCGCGGUAAUACGUAGGGGGCGAGCGUUAUCCGGAUUCACUGGGUGUAAAGGGAGCGUAGACGGCCAUGCAAGCCAGGGGUGAAAGCCCGGGGCCCAACCCCGGGACUGCCCUUGGAACUGUGCGGCUAGAGUGCGGGAGGGGCAGGCGGAAUUCCUGGUGUAGCGGUGAAAUGCGUAGAUAUUAGGAGGAACACCGGUGGCGAAGGCGGCUUACUGGACCGUAACUGACGUUGAGGCUCGAAAGCGUGGGGAGCAAACAGGAUUAGAUACCCCUGUAAU
rnacentral:rRNA from 1 species